rnacentral:rRNA from 1 species
AUUGAACGCUGGCGGCGUGCUUAACACAUGCAAGUCGUGCGGUAACAGGCGUAGCAAUACGUGCUGACGAGCGGCGAACGGGUGCGUAAUACAUGGGAAUCUGCCCUUUAGUGGGGAAUAACCCGGCGAAAGCCGGGCUAAUGCCGCAUAAGAUCUUCGGAUGAAAGCGGGGGAUCGUAAGACCUCGCGCUGAUGGAUGAGCCCAUGUCGGAUUAGCAGUUGGUGAGGUAACGGCUCACCAAGGCGACGAUCCGUAGCUGGUCUGAGAGGACGGCCAGCCACACUGGGACUGAGACACGGCCCAGACUCCUACGGGAGGCAGCAGUGGGGAAUAUUGGACAAUGGGGAAACCCUGAUCCAGCGACGCCGCGUGUGUGAAGAAGGCCUGCGGGUUGUAAAGCACUUUCGGUGGG